GGGAUAACGCAUAUGUGCUGGAAUGCUUUAUGCGUAAAAAGGAUUCGUCCGCCCAAGGAUGGGUCUGCGGCCUAUCAGGUAGUAGUGGGUGUAAUGUACCUACUAGCCGACAACGGGUACGGGUUGUGAGAGCAAGAGCCCGGAGAUGGAUUCUGAGACAUGAAUCCAGGCCCUACGGGGCGCAGCAGGCGCGAAAACUUUACAAUGCAGGAAACCGUGAUAAGGGGACACCGAGUGUCAGCAUCAUAUGCUGGCUGUCCAGGUGUGUAAAAUACACCUGUUAGCAAGGGCCGGGCAAGACCGGUGCCAGCCGCCGCGGUAACACCGGCGGCCCGAGUGGUGAUCGUGAUUAUUGGGUCUAAAGGGUCCGUAGCCGGUUUGGUCAGUCCUCCGGGAAAUCUGAUAGCUCAACUAUUAGGCUAUCGGGGGAUACUACCAGACUUGGAACCGGGAGAGGUAAGAGGUACUACAGGGGUAGGAGUGAAAUCUUGUAAUCCCUGUGGGACCACCUGUGGCGAAGGCGUCUUACCAGAACGGGUUCGACGGUGAGGGACGAAAGCUGGGGGCACGAACCGGAUUAGAUACCCGGGUAGUCCCAGCCGUAAACGAUGCUCGCUAGGUGUCAGGCAUGGCGCGACCGUGUCUGGUGCCGCAGGGAAGCCGUGAAGCGAGCCACCUGGGAAGUACGGCCGCAAGGCUG
rnacentral:rRNA from 1 species